CAAAAAUUAAUAUAAGACACUGUCUUAUAUUCAAGGAAACAUGGUAUCAAGCGGGCUUGAGCCGCAAGGCUGCGUAUAAAUUAUCUGAAUAAGUCAAUAACUGUCAAAGUUUGCUUCUGUAUAGCUCUGUGCUGGGACCAAGUUUAUUGUCAUUACCACCGAUUCCAUUCUAAUAUUCUUGGCAGCGGGCUGAAACCGGAGCAUCGUGUUCCGACUGGUAGUAUCCAAUGCAGCUGGAACCAAUGAUUCCCUUCUGCCAGGGUGAAUUCAAGCAGCACCCUUAGCUCCUUGUUCAACGGGGUUUUACCUCCAUGAAAGGAAGAUUUGGUUGAAUGAAGUAACUGAAUCUAACUCAUUCUUUUUGGAGAUUGUUCUGUACGUUUCUCAUCUACAUAAACGUUCCAUGUCUAUUCUCUGUAUAUUUGUAUGGCGUUCUAUUUAGAGUUUUAAUGUGUACAGAAUAAAGUGAACUGGCAACCAA